AUUGAACGCUGGCGGCAGGCCUAACACAUGCAAGUCGAGCGGAUGAGUGGAGCUUGCUCCAUGAUUCAGCGGCGGACGGGUGAGUAAUGCCUAGGAAUCUGCCUGGUAGUGGGGGACAACGUUUCGAAAGGAACGCUAAUACCGCAUACGUCCUACGGGAGAAAGCAGGGGACCUUCGGGCCUUGCGCUAUCAGAUGAGCCUAGGUCGGAUUAGCUAGUAGGUGGGGUAAUGGCCCACCUAGGCGACGAUCCGUAACUGGUCUGAGAGGAUGAUCAGUCACACUGGAACUGAGACACGGUCCAGACUCCUACGGGAGGCAGCAGUGGGGAAUAUUGGACAAUGGGCGAAAGCCUGAUCCAGCCAUGCCGCGUGUGUGAAGAAGGUCUUCGGAUUGUAAAGCACUUUAAGUUGGGAGGAAGGGCAGUAAGUUAAUACCUUGCUGUUUUGACGUUACCAACAGAAUAAGCACCGGCUAACUUCGUGCCAGCCGCCGCGGUAACAC
rnacentral:rRNA from 1 species